UACGGGAGGCAACAGUGGGGAAUAUUGCACAAUGGGCGCAAGCCUGAUGCAGCCAUGCCGCGUGUAUGAAGAAGGCCUUCGGGUUGUAAAGUACUUUCAGUCGUGAGGAAGGUGUUAAGGUUAAUAACCUUAGCAAUUGACGUUAGCGACAGAAGAAGCACCGGCUAACUCCGUGCCAGCAGCCGCGGUAAUACGGAGGGUGCGAGCGUUAAUCGGAAUUACUGGGCGUAAAGGGCACGCAGGCGGUUAAUUAAGUUGGAUGUGAAAUCCCCGGGCUUAACCUGGGAAUGGCAUUCAAGACUGGUUAGCUAGAGUCUUGUAGAGGGGGUAGAAUUCCAUGUGUAGCGGUGAAAUGCGUAGAGAUGUGGAGGAAUACCGGUGGCGAAGGCGGCCCCUGGGACAAAGACUGACGCUCAUGUGCGAAAGCGUGGGGAGCAAACAGGGAUUAGAUACC
rnacentral:rRNA from 1 species